CACCGGCCGCUGAUACCGGGAGCUAGGGAGGCCGUGGCGUGUAGCACAGCAGGCAGUAGCAGUGCGCUGGUGCCACCUUCGGCCUUCGCCCUUCGAUUCCGGCCUUCCCCUGCAGGUACUUUACAGUUUUACUGCCAUAAAUCAAGCUGGAAUCAUGUUUGCCUGCACCAACCAUGCUCUGUAGAAUGCUUUUAACAGGCAUACAACACACCAUUAGGGAAUAAUCUACAAGGAAUAUUGCUUCAAGGCAAAAGAACCAA